rnacentral:rRNA from 1 species
CGGGCUAGGGGAAAAGGAACAGCUCGUCUCCUCGCGGCCGCAGCUAAGGGCCCACCAGCUCCCCCUCCGCCAUCUAACCUCCUCGGGCUAGGAGAAGUAGGAGAGAGAGCGCUGGGCUAGGAGUGGUUGAGGAGGAGGGCCGCUGCGUGGGGCGGAGGAGGUUAGCCGCUUUACGGGGGAGGGUGAGCGGCCUCUCGCGGCAACGCGGAGGCGUCGGUAGCCUACGGUUGUCGGGGAGGGGGGCGGUGGCGUAGAGGUGUCGGCGGCGUGCGGUGGCUGGGGAGGCCUAGCGGCGUAGCGGUCCUAGAGUCGUCGGACGGCCUACGUCGGCGACGCGAGCCUAGGGGCGCCGGAGGACCUAGGGUAGCGGCAGCCCAGAGGGCGAGGUUGCGGCCCGGCUGGGUAUAGGUACUGCUUCCGCUCGCGCGUGACGGAGGUACGAGGAGUAAGUCCCGGCAACCGGGACUGUGGUAGUGUCGCCCGGAGAAGGAGAGGUCGUCGAGCGACGGCUGGCGUAGAUCCUGCCGGAGCUGGAGGACGACGAUCGACGUCCACGUGGAGACAUAGGGAUGACGAUAGAGGAAGACGUGGUAUGUUGAUGGGAUCGAGGCUACAGACUUGAAGAUGUGGACUGGCACAUGUCCACGACCGAUAUCGAACCUGACCUCGUCCUUUUAACGUAGUUCCAUCUUCCACCUACUACCACAAACACGGAAAAGAGAACUUAACAACGACCACUACCGACGUUAAACUUCUGCAGCCAAAAAAGAGAGAAAAGUAUAAGACGUUAACACGAAGGGGAUACGCACUACUAAGAUAACGAACCACGUAACACCAAACCCAACAAAAUGACGAACUGUAACUAGACACACUCGGACACUGUCAACCUCUCUACUAUCAUCGUUCAUGUUUGAGAGAACUUACCAAUCAACUAUCAUAUCACCAUUGACAUGAUACUAGUAUAUUAUUUCGUCUUUUUUAAGUUCUAAAUAUAACUCGAUAACCUGAGUAAAGAAGAUAAUCUGAACGACUUUGAACGUACUACAAAACUAUUCAUCUACGGAGUAAAGACGAUAACCUGAACGAGUUACCCAGCUGUGAGCUGUCCGUUAAACAUAGGGGAUAGAAUAAAGAAGCCGUUCAACCGACGUCUUAGAUACCCUUAACAGAUGUUUGGAUCAUACUCAACGAUGGAAAAUUAGAAAAAAAGAUUUGUUUUGGACCUAACGGACCUAUAUCAUACGUUAAACGAAUCUAAUCUCGUGUUGAACGGAUGUUGUUGAUUUUGUAAACGGGUCCCCUGUGUUGUGUUGAACUACAAGGUGUGUUAUAUCCAGGUGAAAAAAACGGAUUUUGAACAUCCGUUUAACGGAUGUUUGGUUCAUCAUCCACGAGGACUGAAGGUGAUGAAAAAAAGAUGCCGAUCGUUUGGUUACUCAACCGACGUUUUUGAUACCUUUAACGGAUGUUUGGGUUAUGCUUAACGAUGGAAAGUUAGGAGAAAAAGAUUUGUUUCGAAUCUCAACGGACCUAUACGAUACGUUAAAAGAAUCUAGUCUCGUGUUGAAAGGAAGUUGGUGACCACGUAACUGUGUUGUGUUGAACUACAAGAUGUGUUAUAUUCAGGUGUAAAAAAAGAGCGUUGUACAGUUUAACGGAUACUUGGUUCAUCAUCUAAGAGGGCUGAAGGUAAUAAAUAAAAAAGAAACCAUAAGUUCGAUUACUUAACCGAUGUUUUAAAUACCUUUAAAGGAUGUUUGGGUCACGUUCAAAUAUCACCGAUGAAUAUCAUCAACGAGGACUGAAUCGCAAAAAGUGAACCUCGUCUCCCGUUUAUAUCUCCGAUGAAUAACAUAAUGCAUGUCAUGAUGUGUACUUGCCUAUGAACAUCAACAUAUUGUGUUUGGUUAGACGUGUUCUCUGCGUAUGGGGGAAGGAGUGAAAUUGGACUUUCGAACCGGCACGGGGUGGAAACAUAAACGAAGCUAGGACGUCGUGAUGGUGUCUCCAGAUCUCCGGAUGUUGCCGAUGUUUCUAGGGAGUACGCCUGAUCUUCGUAUUUUUUAACAACGAUACGAUUAGAUACUGUAGGGGACCGUCCCUCUUCUUCUACUUGUACUCUCUCUCUCUCUCCCUCCCUCUCCCUCUCCCUCUCCCUCUCCCUCCCUACCCCCCUCCCUCCCUCUCUUCUUCUACUUGUACUCUCUCCCUCCCUCCCUUCUUCUACUUGUACUCUCUCUCUCUCUUCUACUUGUACUCUCUCUCUCUCUUCUACAUCACCGUAAGUACUAAGACUCAGUAAACAUACCAACGAUGAUGAACAUGACGUUACUGAUAGUAUAGGAUAGUAUAAACUUAUAAACUGAUCAUUAUGGACGAGAACGACCUCGUUUGUUUUGGGGAUUAGUGGAUUCACAACAUUUAUAAGAACGGAUUUUUUUAACAAACAAAACGAACUUCCCGGAGUGAUUUAAGAGUUUACUACAGUUUCGUUGUAAAAGCUCCAAAACACGUGUGCGGGUUCGUUCUCCGAAGUUGUAUGUGAAGGUCGUCCUGAACGAAAAAAAUAAAAGGUAGAAACGUUCGUUAUUCGAAACGGUCGGUGAAGUUCCUUAUGAAGGAAGGAUGCGGCGGGAAAAUAACGGUCGUUUUUCAAAAUGGUCGUUGAAGGUCCCUAGUCCCGUAUCACCGUGUGGGGGUUCAACAGGUCUAUCUCUCCACCGCGUGCCUUCCAAGUUCACGACUACCAACCCACCUACCUAGGACGUCUUCUACCUCCUCCUUCCCCAACUACCCCUUCUUUCCCACCUCCUCCUCGCCCCUUCCCUCUUUUCAGAGGUCUCCAAAACACGGCACACAAGUGUGUGUGACCCAACGCAGCCAAUGCUAACCCUCUUUUCCUUUAGACCGGUACACGUGCUAGUCUAGCAAAGAAAGGAAAAAACUGCGGUCGACCGUUGUUCUCUCCCAGGUGACGGAAUAAAUCCCGCACACGGGACCUGGCGAUCGAUCGGUUGCCAACGACCGAUCAGCGCAGGAAAAAAAUCUAUCUUGUGUUCUUAACCGUAUCACACUAAUGUGGAAACGAGUGACUUGUGAACUUAUUGGCCUUAGUAGUUUC